ensembl:ncRNA K08A8.8 ncRNA
GCAAAAACAGGUCGAAAACAAAAAAAAAUGGGGAACGGACCGCCAAUGUUUUGAAACGGAAGGGGGGUGCGCACGCGGUCGCGUCGCGUGCCCGGUGUUUCAACGUAACUCUUGCACUUAUUUACGCAG